CCUACGGGGGCUGCAGUGGGGAAUAUUGGACAAUGGGCGAAAGCCUGAUCCAGCCAUGCCGCGUGUGUGAAGAAGGCCUUCGGGUUGUAAAGCACUUUCAGUGGGGAAGAAAGCCUUGGGGCUAAUACCCUCGAGGAAGGACAUCACCCACAGAAGAAGCACCGGCUAACUCCGUGCCAGCAGCCGCGGUAAUACGGAGGGUGCGAGCGUUAAUCGGAAUUACUGGGCGUAAAGCGCGCGUAGGCGGUCUGAUAAGCCGGUUGUGAAAGCCCCGGGCUCAACCUGGGAACGGCAUCCGGACCUGUCAGGCGAUAGUGCAGGAGAGGAAGGUAGAAUUCCCGGUGUAGCGGUGAAAUGCGUAGAGAUCGGGAGGAAUACCAGUGGCGAAGGCGGCCGUCUGGACUGACACUGACGCUGAGGUGCGAAAGCGUGGGUAGCAAACAGGAGUAGAUACCCGUGUAGUC
rnacentral:rRNA from 1 species